GAGUCCGCGCGCGCCAGCCAAAGGCGGGGGAAGGAAGGGGGGAAGGGCACGCGCAGGAAAGGAUUGCGGGGCCUUAAGGAGCCACUUCCACGAAGGAGUUAGGUGCUGAAAAAGAGCUCAAAUGCGGCGGAGGGGAGCCGGCGCCCAACCAUCCCUCCCAGAGUCCGAGAAGAAACCCCAGCGACCCCCUUCUUGCCGGGCCCCCGCCAUUCUCCACAAACCGAAGUCUCAUCUACUCCCGCCCUCGCCUGUCGUCUUGCUUUCUGCCCUCCAAAUGGAGGGCAUCGGUCGCAGCCCUGUCUAGAGGCUCUCCGCGCUUCUCUGACUCGCUUUUCCCCGUUUCCCCGAACGAGGCCGGACACCGCGCUCGGCCCACUCACCAUGGUGGCUACGGGUUAGGAGGCGAAGGCGACAGGAGCAGACACCGGGUCCCGGUUACCGUCCCCGACAAGCUAAGAGUCGAGAAUGUGGAAGCACCAUCUCAUGACAAUAAAGCAACCUUAAGACAUAUGCUAAGGAUGGAGGAAGAUAGAGUCUAGGUCCCUGAUGACAUUGUGGAGCUGCUGCACAAGCCCUGGAUUGCCUACUUCUGGACUUCUCAUUAUGGGAGAAAAUAAAGCAAUUUGUUAAGCCA